rnacentral:misc_RNA from 1 species
CUGACAACAAUCCAGCGACGCUGAGACAUCACAUGUUAAUAGAUCAAAAGCACUUCACAUGUAGAGAAAAUCAGUAAUAUACACUCAAUUUAGUUAUCAACCCCAAAUGCAACAUUGCAACCCAAAAGCAAGUAUGGCAAUUAAUUUCCAUAUUUGCUUAAUCUUUCAAUAACAACAAGAACUAAAAUACGAAACUAAACCAAGUUGAAGAAAAGCUGGGGACAUUUGCGGGAAAUGCAUAUAAAGUUCUUGCAGGGUAUCAUCAGUGUUAGACGCAGGCGUCAAAAGAAAUGCAUGUUUCUAAUGCAUUUUGAAUAUCAAAACUGCAGGCUGCAUUGAAGAGGAAUUCAUUAAAUUAUCAAAACUGUUAAAAAAUACGCAUCCCAGAGCAUAUUCAGCAUGAUAAACGUUUGAAUUGUCUGAGCUAUGAGGAGAUAAUAUCCUUGCAUUAAGGAGUCUACAUUUAUACUCCCAUAGUAAUGAAAUCUAACCAUCCAACACAUGGUAUUCUCGUGGAUCCAAAAUAUGGAACCCACAAUCACAGAUGAUCCAGAUUUCACAUUGCUAAAAAUGUUGUAGUAUAGUUCAGAUUCCUUGGUUACUAGAAAUGUUGGAGUCUUCAUUUGUAGGUGAUUACACCCAAAGUCCAAGGUCCAAUUCCAAAUGGACCAUCAAAAUCCUUUCAAAUAUACAGUUAACAGUUCUUACACAGCUUGAUUUAGAACAUGAUAAAAGAUAAAAUAAACGAUAAACUAAAAAAAUAUUGUAGACAAUAAAUAAUCUCAACCUGGGUUACUCCAUUAGUCUUGUAAUGAAAUUUGUGAGGCCACAGCUCAUAGAAGUCCUUGAAAACUCUUGUUUUUAACAACUCCGCGUGUAUUUUAGAAACACCAUUCACAGUGUGAGAACAGACAAUUGAUAGAUUUGCCAUCCGAAUACUCUUCGCAGCACCUUCCUCAACAAUUGACAUCCUGGAAAGCCGGUCAUAAUCUAAACCAAUUCUCUUCUUCAACUUUUCAAUGAAAUUGAAGUUUAUAUCAUAUAUUAU